UACGGGGGGGGUAAGCGUUGUUCGGAAUUACUGGGCGUAAAGGGCUCGUAGGCGGCCAACUAAGUCAGACGUGAAAUCCCUCAGCUUAACUGGGGAACUGCGUCUGAUACUGGAUGGCUUGGAUCCGGAAGAGGGAUGCGGAAUUCCAGGUGUAGCGGUGAAAUGCGUAGAUAUCUGGAGGAACACCGAUGGCGAAGGCAGGUCUCUGGGCAUUAACUGACGCUGAGGAGCGAAAGCAUGGGGAGCGAACAGG
rnacentral:rRNA from 1 species